rnacentral:lncRNA from 1 species
CUGAAUAAAGCUAAAUCUGUGUCUAAAAGUGUGUGUCUGAGAGAAAAGACCCCUAUCCUUGUCAGGCUUAUUAGAUUAACCCACUGUGCUCAGAGCUAUUUCCAUUUGUCUCAUCUGUUCAUUUCCAAUGAUAAGAAUAUACUUUAAUAGCUCCAAAGGCUUAGAUCAUAAUGGGCUAUAGAUUCGACAGAAUCUGGAAUGCAAAUGACUGAUGAAUUGUUUAGGGUCAGGAGCAAGAAUGUUAUUUAAGGAGUGGUGGAAAAGUCUGUGUGGGAUUUAAGGACAUAUUCAUGUAAGAUAUCAUGAUUGCAACUCCUGCCUUCUUUCUAUCAGUUGAGGACCAGAAAUGCCUCCAUCCUUUAAUUCUGACCUUGUGUGUGUCUACCCACCUCAUGUGUGUUUCUUGAAGACAACAUAUGGUAGGGUUUUGGAUUCUAAUCCAUUCUGCUAUUCAUCUACGUUUUAUGGAGACAAGACUGGAGCAUUUUCUUCUACCUGAAGUCAUUCCUGAUCCCUUCAAUUGUUAGUUACUUCCUUAUCAAGCUGAUUCCAGAUGUUUCAUCUGUAAAGGGACUAUCCACAUCCUGAGAAUGUCUGCAUUAAUGAAGACACAGGUUUAGACCACAACAAACAAUCUCUCAUUUUCUUUCCUGAGCUUCAUGAUUGGUGAGGACGCCAUUUCUCAUGUAAAUUUCCAGUCUCCACCAAAGCCUAAAAGUGGAGGCUGCUCCUAAUAGACAGUACUGGCGAAUGAUCGUUGAAAUAAACAGAAUCAAAUUGAAUGGAAU